rnacentral:lncRNA from 1 species
AAGAGAAAUGAAAACCUACAUCCCCCCACCCCAGGGGAGACCAAAAAGAAGUUCAAGGACCCCAAUGCACCCAAGAGGCCUCCUUCGGCCUUCUUCUUGUUCUGUUCUGAGUACCGCCCCAAAAUCAAAGGCGAGCAUCCUGGCUUAUCCAUUGGUGAUGUUGCAAAGAAACUAGGAGAGAUGUGGAACAACACUGCAGCAGAUGACAAGCAGCCCUAUGAGAAGGCUGCCAAGCUGAAGGAGAAGUACAAGAAGGAUAUUGCUGCCUACAGAGCUAAAGGAAAACCUGAUGCAGCGAAAAAGGGGGUGGUCAAGGCU